GACAGCUUCUGCUGCGCUGCAGUUGCAAAGAGAGAGAACCGGCUGCAGGGCUCACAUCUGACUCUGCCUUGAGGUGACAGGUGUCUGGGAUGGCCAGAGCCUUGGCCUUCCUCUCGCCCACAGUCACACUCCAGCAUGAAGACACCGCAAGAGAUUGUGGACCAAAGAAGCGCCUUCGAAAGCCCGAGACAGAACCAUGAGUGAAGUUCUGUGUGGAUGCACCCAUCCUCCCUACUUGUGUUUUCUGUUGCCGCAAUUUUAUUACCGGCGUGAUGUGCACUUCUUGUAAAUCCAUCAAAAACGUAUCUGAAGCAUACUCGGGAACAUAUUAAGCCUAGGAACCUGAUGUCCUUUUAUUUCUGUCCCCGAAUAACGAUUAGGCAUCUAUUCCCACACUUGACCAUGUCUCGGAUUUGCUGAUUUGCUGAUUUUCUUUGCCCGUGUUCAUCUUUCCAAGUUUUGAGUGAAUGGGCACUUCUCUGAGCCAUUGAACGUCUCCUGAGAAAUAAUUAAGCCAUGGAAUUCCUCGCUUGAGAGGGCAACUAUGAACCCAGACGCGUAGUCCUGUGAAGGCUUCUGAAUUUAAAAGCCCGAGAGCAUUGCCGUCUUGCUCAGCACAGAUAUACUGAGUGGAUUAACCCGGUAGGUGCUACUCCAGCAGUUCACUCGCUCCACAAACAUUACCAAGCACCCACGAUGUGCUACACCGGGUGCUAGGGAGACUCCCACAGACACAGCACAGCGCUGGUGGCACAGUGGUGAGCAGAGCUGCCUUCCGAAGACAUAGCACCUUCUACAGCAGAGCUGGGGGGAAAGGGGCCGGGAGAGAGAGCCCCGGCUCUGGGGCCAGGGCCACCUGUGCUUCUAACCAACCCCAGCUUCCCCACUGCACAGCUGUGUGACUUCACCCACUCUGGCGGCGCCUUGAUCUUCUCCUGGAACUUUGAGAAACAAACGUUUUUUAUUUAAUUAAAAAUAAUUUUUUUAAACAAUCCUCCUUAGCUUGGUUUCUUCCUCCGUGAAAUGGGAUAAUGUAAGAUUGCUGCAUGGGUUAGGCGAGCAAAGGAACGUGAAGCGUUGAAGCAGUGUAACAUGUCCAGGGCGAGUUUUAAUCAUGGGUCAGUAUAUUCCCUGGGGAGGAAAGCAGUGUCACUAAGCAUAGUGAGGUGGAAGAGGCGUGCAUUUCAUCGGCUUCACAGACCCGGCAGUUACUCACCACCACAUCCCACUUCACACACCCUCACCUCCCCCCAUCCCCCCACCCCCCCAGCACCCCAGCCUCCCAGCAGGGCUUCAAGCAGAAGUCCCAACAGUGCAGCGGAACAUCUGCAGCUCCCUCUCCGGGAGGACCUGCACAUUCCCUACCCAGGCAGAAAGCAUGAAAGAGACGCUAUUUGGUCAUGUCAUG
rnacentral:lncRNA from 1 species